CCCAGACAGCCAGGAUGUUGGCUUAGAAGCAGCCAUCAUUUAAAGAAAGCGUAAUAGCUCACUGGUCGAGUCGGCCUGCGCGGAAGAUGUAACGGGGCUAAACCAUGCACCGAAGCUGCGGCAGCGACACUGUGUGUUGUUGGGUAGGGGAGCGUUCUGUAAGCCUGCGAAGGUGUCCCGUGAGGGAUGCUGGAGGUAUCAGAAGUGCGAAUGCUGACAUAAGUAACGAUAAAGCGGGUGAAAAGCCCGCUCGCCGGAAGACCAAGGGUUCCUGUCCAACGUUAAUCGGGGCAGGGUGAGUCGACCCCUAAGGCGAGGCCGAAAGGCGUAGUCGAUGGGAAACGGGUUAAUAUUCCCGUACUUGGUGUUACUGCGAAGGGGGGACGGAGAAGGCUAUGUUGGCCGGGCGACGGUUGUCCCGGUUUAAGCGUGUAGGCUGGUUUUCCAGGCAAAUCCGGAAAAUCAAGGCUGAGGCGUGACGACGAGGCACUACGGUGCUGAAGCAACAAAUGCCCUGCUUCCAGGAAAAGCCUCUAAGCAUCAGGUAACAUCAAAUCGUACCCCAAACCGACACAGGUGGUCAGGUAGAGAAUACCAAGGCGCUUGA
rnacentral:rRNA from 1 species